rnacentral:rRNA from 1 species
CCUACGGGAGGCAGCAGUGGGGAAUAUUGGGCAAUGGAGGCAACUCUGACCCAGCAACGCCGCGUGAGCGAUGAAGGUCUUCGGAUUGUAAAGCUCUUUAAGCGGGGACGAAGAAAGUGACUGUACCCGCAGAAUAAGCCUCGGCUAACUACGUGCCAGCAGCCGCGGUAAUACGUAGGAGGCAAGCGUUGUCCGGAAUUACUGGGUUUAAAGGGAGCGUAGGCGGGGAUGCAAGUUGGGUGUCAAAACUACCGGCUCAACUGGUAGUCGCACUCAAAACUGCAGCUCUUGAGUGAAGUAGAGGCAGGCGGAAUUCCUAGUGUAGCGGUGAAAUGCGUAGAUAUUAGGAGGAACACCAGUGGCGAAGGCGGCCUGCUGGGCUUUUACUGACGCUGAGGCUCGAAAGUGUGGGGAGCAAACAGGAUUAGAUACCCUUGUAGUC